UGAGGAAUAUUGGUCAAUGGGCGGGAGCCUGAACCAGCCAAGCCGCGUGAGGGAGGAAGGCCCUAUGGGUCGUAAACCUCUUUUGUCAGGGAACAAAAGCGAGUAUGUAUACUAGUCUGAGUGUACCUGAAGAAAAAGGCAUCGGCUAACUCCGUGCCAGCAGCCGCGGUAAUACGGAGGAUGCGAGCGUUAUCCGGAUUUAUUGGGUUUAAACGGGUUGCGUAGGCGGCGGUGCAAGUCAGCGGUAAAAGCCCGGGGCCUCAACCCCGGCGAGCCGUUGAAACUGCAGUGCUAGAGAAGGCGAGAGGUACGCGGAAUGCGCAGUGUAGCGGUGAAAUGCUUAGAUAUUGCGCAGAACUCCGAUUGCGAAGGCAGCGUACUGGCGCCUGACUGACGCUGAGGCACGAAAGCGUGGGGAUGAACAGGAUUAGAUACC
rnacentral:rRNA from 1 species